rnacentral:rRNA from 1 species
CGGGGUGAGUAAUGUAUGGGGAUCUGCCUGAUGGCGGGGGAUAACUACUGGAAACGGUAGCUAAUACCACAUAAUGUCUGCGGACCAAAGCGGGGGACCUCCGGGCCUCGCGCCAUCAGAUGAACCCAUAUGGGAUUAGCUUGUAGGUAAGGUAACGGCUUACCUAGGCGACGAUCCCUAGCUGGUCUGAGAGGAUGAUCAGCCACACUGGGACUGAGACACGGCCCAG